ensembl:lncRNA
GUCCUCACCGCUAUCACCGGGCCCCAGGAGGCUGUCGUGGGCUCAGCCCGGAGGACCUGCGAGUCCCUGCUGCACGGUCACACGACCUGUGACAGGCCUCCCACUCCACUCCCAGCUGCGCGAGAUCCUGGCCAAGGCCUCUCUGGGCCACAAGAGGAAAAGCCUGUUUGGGAUCGACUGGCUGCCGGGGGCAGGGGUCUUCAGCGCAGCCUCCCCUGAACGAUCCAUGCUCCCACCGUCCCAGCUGCUGAAGCCCUUUCUUGCCUCAAGGACAGCAAGUGUGAGAGCCAUGCUGGGGAGCUGUGCCUGCCUUGUACACUGACUGGGGGACACAGAGGAGAGGCCACCCACGGUCACAGUGGACCCGGGCAGGGGACAGGGCAUUGGGCAGGUCGUGCGGCUAUGCAGACCUCUCCAGGGCUCAGCCCAGCCAUGGAGACCAGGCCCACCCAGACCACCCAGAGGCGACGCCAGUAUCCCUGAGGGUUCUACGCAGGUUGGCUCCUGCCAGCGGCGGUGGUGGGCACGCAGAUGUCCCUGGUGGGCUGCAUCAUGGUGUCCUCAGACACACCCACCCUUUACACUUCCAGGGUGGGUCAGCUCUUCCCUGAGCGCAGCUGCGAGGCCCGCACCCACACUACUUGGGCCGGAGCUUCGGAGCCCAGGAUGGACCCACAGACAGACACGCCUUCAGCACCCUGCUGGGAACCUGUCUCUGCCAGUGUCCUAGGUCUGCCCUAACAAAUGACCACAAAUGGGCGUUAAAACAACAAGCUGCAAAAAAAAAAAACCAAGCUGCUUUUCUCACGGUUCUGCAGGCAGGAUCCAGUACUGCCGGUGUGGCAGCUGGUUCCUUCUGGAGAAGGUGCGAAUGUCCAGUGGCUCUGGGGCUCUGACGCCGCUGGCUUGUGGCCGCGCCGCUCCCCUCUCCCCCGUCUUCACGUGGCCUCUCCCUCUGUGCAGGCCACGUCUGUCUCUCCUCCUCCUACAAGGGCUUGUCGCUGGUUCCAGGUCCCCCUAAUCCAGGUGCUCUCAUCGGGGGCUCCUUAUCCUAAUUACACAUGCAAAGGCCUUUAUUCCAAGGAAGGCUGUAUUCUGAUGGCCUUCCCAUCAGAACGUGUGUACCGGAGGAUGUAUCUUUUCAGGAGCACAGUUCAAGCCACUACAGUCCACCCUCUGGCCCCCAUGAGCAAAAUACAGUCACCCCCAACCCAUUGCCCCAAAGUGUCACCCAAUGCAGCGUCAACCCGAGUCCCCAGGCUCAUCUCAUCCUGAGUGGGGGGUGGGGGAGGUUCUGCGGCAACACCGCUGCCUCCUGUGCACCAGACGGUCACCGCCUCCAGGGUACAACGGUGGGCAGCGAGGGACGGGGCUGGGGGGCAUUCCUCGAGGGCGGGGCAGGAGGGAGAAAAGGGCCCAGUCCCAAGCAC